rnacentral:lncRNA from 1 species
AGGAUGGCGGGGGCGGUCGCGCGGCCACAUAGUCUCCAACCUCUGCCAGUCGUAGUGUUAAGUCCGAGUUGGGACAGACAGCACGCGCGCACCCACACACGCGCGCCGACCGGGGCAGGCAGCACCUCGCUCUCCCGUCUCCUCGCCGGCCGGGCCUCGUCUCUCGCGCUCUCGGCUCCGCAUUAAAAAAAAAUACAGUAGAGAAAAAGGGAAAAUAAUAGUGAAGGAAAAGAUGUAGGAGAGAACAGUUCUAAUAAAAGAAAAAAUGCAUGUCAAUUAAGAACUGGAUAUAUUGCAAAAUUGCAAUAACCAACUUGGACCAAUUUCCAGAUGAUGACAGGUGUGUGACUAAAAAAGAAAGAAAAUAAAUAUAGAACCAAUGAGUAUAUAUUAAAAAUAAGCUAUUGAUAAUACUAUUAAAAAUAAGUUAUUGAAAAUACUGUUAAAAAUAAGCUAUUGGAAGGCUAAGUAAUGGAAGGAUAAUAGUGAUAAAAAAUAACGCAAAGAAAGUAGAGAGUGGAAAGAAGGAAAAAAAGAAAAAAAAACAGAAAAGAAAAUAGGGUUAAGGAGAUAAAAGAAUAGAAAAGAAAGGAAGGAGACGAAAAAGAGAUAAAGAAGAAAAGUAAAGAAAAAAUAAAAUAAAGAAGAGAGGGAGAAGGAGAGACAAGGAUAUAAGAGGGGAACAGAGAAACACACAAGAAAACCAUCAUGACACCUAACAUGUGUUUUCUGAUCAUAACUACAACUUUGAUCAUCUUCUCGCCGCUUG